CUAAAAUUCUUCCUAGAGAAACUCUAACCACCAGUCCACCCAAAACUCUCUUCAUGAAAACUAACCCCAUUGGAAACGAUCCCCAUCAUUCAUUGAAACCCUCUUCAACUGGUGGUCUCUCUCUCUCUAAGAGUUUCUUUUCCACUCUCACUCGUCUCUUCCUUCACAUUUUUGUAGUGAUAGUUGGAAAGGCCAAGAGCUCUCUCUCAAAACCUAGGGUUUUACAUUUCUAAAGCUCAACCUCUUCAAUUCGCAGCAGCAACAGCCAUACAUAAAGAACGAUUUGGGCUCUUGAUCGCUACUUCACCAUAUCUUUGGAGGCUGCAUCUUUUAAUUAUAUUGAUCCUAUGGUGGUUAUUUAUACUAAAAGGAGGGAUGAAACACUUAUAGAGCUUGGUCGUACUGAAGUAAUUUUAAAUUCAGUAGAUCUACGUGGAUCACAAAACAUACACUUACUUAUCAUUUUGAGGUUGUGCAGUAUUUGGUGUUUCAAGUGUAUGACAUUGACACUCAGUUUCAUAAUGUAGAUGUGAAGGUAUAAUAAAUUUUUCCUCUUACCAACAGAUGAUUUUGAGGGAAUGUUGUUGAAUUACAUAUUGAAAUAUAAUAUUCCAAAGGCAUGUACAACCUAUCCAGAUAUGUGGACAUGAUAAAACUACCCUCUCUUGCUUUAUUUAAUGAGCUUAAAAGAUUUCCAGGUUUAUAUAUUUCUAUUUUCUUUUAAAAAAUUUAAAACUAUAGGAGAGUGAGCCAAAGUCUGAGCAUUUUUUAUCUUUUUACUUACCUGUAAACAUUACAUAAUGUCUAGCCAACCCCACGGAGCUUGGUUUAUUAGAAUAAGAAUAUUGCAUCAUUUACAUACAGUAUCACAUUUCCUCCCAUUAUUGUCAGGUUGCCAUCAUUCAAAAAACUACGAAGAAAUUAUCCGCCAAAAAAUAGAGAAUUCAGUUGCAUGUAGAUUCAAAACGAACGAUGAAUCUAAAGUACAAUCAAUUCACCAUUCAAGCAGCUGAACUAAUGGAAAUAUUAGGAAGAAGAUUCACUAUACUCUUUUUAGUUUUUCUAAUAAUAUCCCAUUUAUUAAGACUUUUUUUAAUAAUUUUUUUUUUCUAUUUUAAGAUCGCACAUUUUCUUUAAUUUUUGU